rnacentral:lncRNA from 1 species
AUUAUUUUGUACAGGAAACAGUUUUCUGAUGCAAGUCACUAAGUUAUAUUAAUGGAAUGAGUGAAUUAAGAAAAAAAAAAAAAGGAAUACUGUUAAUUUUAGAUCUGUUUGAACAGAUCUACAAAGACUUGAUUCCCAAAACCUAUAGGAAACACUGUGAAAUAUCUCUAGGUAUUUUGUAGAAGCUUGCUUCUUUCUUUCCAUAAAACCAUGGGAACUAUCCAGAGAAGUUAAAAUUGGAAACUUAAGUUGUCUUGUUCAUAAACUCAAGAUUUUACAAUUUUACUUGCAAAACUAUUAUUAUCCAUUCAAAAAGCAUAAAGAAUGUAGACAAUUAUAACUGCAGGAAUAUUGUAAGAUUCCUGAAAGGAAGGUCUUUCGUAGUCAGAAUAUCUGAAGUCUUUCAUAUUUUUAUCUAAUAUUCCAAAGUUAGCGUGAUGAUCUAAAGCUGUCCUACCCCAAUGUAUCCAAAUUAUUCACCUUAGCCUGCUAUACCAGUGUGGUCCCAGCAAGCCUGUAUCCCAUCCUGGCAAGCAGACUGAGCCCACUGUGUGCAUUUCAUGUGACAGCACUCCCAGCUCAUCUGAAGGGAACUUGUUUGACCCUGCUUCUGCAAACCAGAAUAAGGUAUCAUACAAGCCCCACCAAAUUAAAGCCUCUUUAAUUUGAGAACUGCCUGCCUUAUCCAAACUGAAACACUAAUGGAGGUGUGUUCGCUGAAGUCUAAACAUUUGCUAAUGCAGAGUGGGAUGUGAGUGGUUUUGUGGGAAUAAAUGUAAGCAUGUGAUAGCUGAAUAGAGUCAUGGAAAUCUCACAAUCUUAUGCUUUGUCAUAAAUAGCUUUACAUCAUAGGAUACGUAGAUCUUCCCAGCCAGCAUACAACUGUGACUGAACAUGUCAGGGUAUUUCAAACUAGAAUGUUCAGUUAUAUUUUGCUGUAACAAAUGUAUGGAGACAUACAAGGGAGACAUAUCUGAAAAAUUAGUUUUCAGUGUCAAUGGAAGUGAAAUUGGAAGAUAAUCUCUGUUGGCCACACCAAUUCCUGCCAGUCCCAUUGGUAGGAUCAAGAACUUAGGAUCAAGUUGCCUUGAAGAAAUAGGCAUCUGAUAAAAAAAAAUAAUAAAUUCUUUUGAAAAUGAAACUGAUUGAACUUA